rnacentral:rRNA from 1 species
UACAGAGGUCUCAAGCGUUAAUCGGAAUUACUGGGCUUAAAGGGUCCGCAGGCGGUUCAACAAGUACCUUGUGAAAUAUCAGGUCUCAACCCUGAAACUGCUCGGUAGACUGUUGGACUUGAGUGCAAAAGGGGUCGCUGGAACUCUAGGUGGAGCGGUGAAAUGCGUAGAUAUCCGAAGGAACGCCGGUGGCGAAAGCGGCGUGCUGGACCCCUUCUGACGCUGAGGCGCGAAAGCCAGGGGAGCAAACGGG